rnacentral:misc_RNA from 1 species
AAGUCGUAACAAGGUUUCCGUAGGUGAACCUGCGGAAGGAUCAUUAAUGAGAUCAUGCCCUUCGGGGUAGACCUCCCACCCUCUGUAUACAAUACCUUUGUUGCUUUGGCGGCCCCGUCGCAAGACAACUGGCUCCGGCUGGUCAGCGGCCGCCAGAGGAAUCAAAACUCUUAUUAUUAUUGUCGUCUGAGUACUAUAUAAUAGUUAAAACUUUCAACAACGGAUCUCUUGGUUCUG